rnacentral:rRNA from 1 species
AUUGAACGCUGGCGGCAGGCUUAACACAUGCAAGUCGAACGAGUGGCAGACGGGUGAGUAAUGCUUGGGCAUCUAGCUUCUGGAGGGGGAUAACUACGGGAAACUGUAGCUAAUACCGCGUACCAUAGGAUGAGCCCAAGUGUGAUUAGGUAGGUGGUGAGUGAAAGGCUCACCAAGCCGCCGAUCUCUAGCUGGUCUGAGAGGAUGACGAGCCCCACGGGGACGGAGACACGGCCCAGAAUCGUACGGGAGGCAGCAUUGGUGAAGAUUGCGAAAGGGGGGCAACCUGACGCAGCCAUGCGGCGUGAGUGAAGAAGGCCUUCGGGUUGUAAAGUUCUUUCGGUAGCGAGGCGUUAACUACAGAAGAAGCACCGGCUAACUCCGUGCCAGCAGCCGCGGUAAUAC